UGGGGAAUCUUCCGCAAUGGACGAAAGUCUGACGGAGCAACGCCGCGUGAGUGAAGACGGCCUUCGGGUUGUAAAGCUCUGUUAUACGGGACGAACGGGCGGGAUGCUAAUACCAUCCUGUUGUGACGGUACCGUAAGAGAAAGCCACGGCUAACUACGUGCCAGCAGCCGCGGUAAUACGUAGGUGGCAAGCGUUGUCCGGAAUUAUUGGGCGUAAAGGGUGCGCAGGCGGUCUCUUAAGUCUGUCUUAAAAGUGCGGGGCUCAACCCCGUGAGGGGACGGAAACUGGGAGACUGGAGUAUCGGAGAGGAAAGCAGAAUUCCUAGUGUAGCGGUGAAAUGCGUAGAUAUUAGGAGGAAUACCAGUGGCGAAAGCGGCUUUCUGGACGACAACUGACGCUGAGGCACG
rnacentral:rRNA from 1 species